rnacentral:rRNA from 1 species
UGAGGAAUAUUGGUCAAUGGGCGAGAGCCUGAACCAGCCAAGUAGCGUGCAGGAUGACGGCCCUAUGGGUUGUAAACUGCUUUUAUAUGGGAAUAAAGUGAGGGACGUGUCCCUUAUUGCAUGUACCAUAUGAAUAAGGACCGGCUAAUUCCGUUCCAGCAGCCGCGGUAAUACGGCAGGUCCAGGCGUUAUCCGGAUUUAUUGGGUUUAAAGGGAGCGUAGGCUGUUUGUUAAGCGUGUUGUGAAAUGUAAGAGCUCAACUUUUAGAUUGCAGCGCGAACUGGCAGACUUGAGUGCGCACAACGUAGGCGGAAUUCAUGGUGUAGCGGGGAAAUGCUUAGAUAUCAUGACGAAAUCCGAUUGCGAAGGCAGCUUACGGGAGCGCAACUGACGCUAAAGCUCGAAGGGGCGGGUAUCGAACAGG